rnacentral:rRNA from 1 species
UACAGAGGUCCCAAGCGUUUGUUCGGAUUCACUGGGCGUAAAGGGUGCGUAGGUGGUGAGGAAAGUCGGAUGUGAAAUCUCCGGGCUUAACCCGGAAAUGGCAUUGGAAACUACCUUGCUAGAGGUUUUGAGGGGGGACUGGAAUUCUCGGUGUAGCAGUGAAAUGCGUAGAUAUCGAGAGGAACACCAGUGGCGAAGGCGAGUCCCUGGAAAACACCUGACACUGAGGCACGAAAGCUAGGGGAGCAAACAGG